UACGGAGGGUGCAAGCGUUAAUCGGAAUUACUGGGCGUAAAGCGUGCGCAGGCGGUUUGUUAAGUCUGUUGUGAAAUCCCCGAGCUCAACUUGGGAAUUGCAAUGGAUACUGGCAGGCUGGAGUAUGGUAGAGGAAGGUGGAAUUCCCGGUGUAGCAGUGAAAUGCGUAGAGAUCGGGAGGAACACCAGUGGCGAAGGCGGCCUUCUGGACCAAUAC
rnacentral:rRNA from 1 species